rnacentral:rRNA from 1 species
AAUCCUGGUGGGCGAGGUGGCGAACGGGUGAGUAAUAUAUCGGAACGUGCCCAGUCGUGGGGGGAUAACGUAGCGAAAGCUACGCUAAUACCGCAUACGAUCUAUGGAUGAAAGCGGGGGAUCGCAAAGACCUCGCGCGAUUGGAGCGGCCGAUAUCAGAUUAGGUAGUUGGUGAGGUAAAGGCUCACCAAGCCGACGAUCUGUAGCUGGUCUGAGAGGACGACCAGCCACACUGGGACUGAGACACGGCCCAGACUCCUACGGGAGGCAGCAGUGGGGAAUUUUGGACAAUGGGCGCAAGCCUGAUCCAGCAAUGCCGCGUGCAGGAUGAAGGCCUUCGGGUUGUAAACUGCUUUUGUACGGAACGAAACGGUGAGCUCUAAUACAGUUUGCUAAUGACGGUACCGUAAGAAUAAGCACCGGCUAACUACGUG